rnacentral:rRNA from 1 species
AACGAACGCUGGCGGCAGGCUUAACACAUGCAAGUCGAACGCCUGUAGCAAUACAGGAGUGGCAGACGGGUGAGUAACACGUGGGAACGUGCCCAAAAGUACGGAACAACUCCGGGAAACUGGAGCUAAUACCGUAUGUGCCCGAAAGGGGAAAGAUUUAUCGCCUUUGGAUCGGCCCGCGUCUGAUUAGCUAGUUGGUGGGGUAAUGGCCUACCAAGGCGACGAUCAGUAGCUGGUCUGAGAGGAUGGCCAGCCACACUGGGACUGAGACACGGCCCAGACUCCUACGGGAGGCAGCAGUGGGGAAUAUUGGACAAUGGGCGCAAGCCUGAUCCAGCCAUGCCGCGUGAGUGAUGAAGGCCUUAGGGUUGUAAAGCUCUUUCGCCAGGAACGAUAAUGACGGUACCUGGAUAAGAAGCCCCGGCUAACUUCGUGCCAGCCGCCGCAGUAA